rnacentral:lncRNA from 1 species
ACCCUCCGCCGCCGCAUGGCCAUCCCCCUCCUCGUCCCCCACAUGAACCUCCACGACGCCAAGCUCGGUGGCUACGACAUCCCCGCCGAGAGCAAGAUCCUCGUCAACGCCUGGUGGCUCGCCAACAACCCCGACAACUGGAAGAACCCCGACGAGUUCCGCCCCGAGAGAUUCUUAGCGGAGGAGGCCAAGGUGGAAGCCAAUGGCAAUGACUUCAGGUACUUGCCCU